rnacentral:lncRNA from 1 species
UUAUUAUAGUAGAAUGGAAAAAAUUUGAGUAAUUGUUUGAGGGAUACGCAUGAGUGUGCUGAGAGAUUUGUGGGAUUGGACUAGAGAUAUUUUGGAAAGUCGGUUAAGAGUUUAAAAUUCGAAAUCAAAUUUUGAUUCCGGCUGUUGAGAGAGAUAUUUUCUAGUUGGUUGGGGGUUCAAAAUUUCAAAGUUGAAUUCCAACAUAAUAUUUUUAAAGUUUAAAAUUGAAUUUUGGGAUGUGGAUGUGAUUGGUCGAGGAAUGGGUUAAGAGAUAUUUUUAGGAUUCAAAAAUUCGAAAUCGAGUUUUGAAUGGAGUAAGGAUAUGUAUGAGGUUGUUAGAUUUUUAAUUGGAUGGGGAUUUAGAAAUUCAAAAUUGAAUUUGAGCAUAAUUUUUAAAAUUUAAAAUUGAAUUUUCGAAUGUGGGUGUAGAUGUGGG